rnacentral:rRNA from 1 species
GAUGAACGCUGGCGGCGUGCUUAACACAUGCAAGUCGAACGAGAAGUGAAGACGGAACCCCUCGGGCGGAAGGCUUUAGUUCGAGUGGCGGCCGGGGGAGUAACGCGUUGGUAACCUGCCUCAUCCAGGGGGAUAACAGUUGGAAACGACUGUUAAUACCGCAUAAGACCACAGCACCGCAUGGUGCGGGGUUAAAACCCCGGUUAGAUGGGUGGGACCCGCGUUCGAUUAGCCAGUUGGCAGGGGAACGGCCCACCAAAGCGACGAUCGAUAGCCGAUCUGAGAGGAUGACCGGCCACAUUGGGACUGAGACACGGCCCAAACUCCUACGGGAGGCAGCAGUGGGGAAUAUUGCACAAUGGGGGAAACCCUGAUGCAGCGACGCCGCGUGAGUGAAGAAGUAUUUCGGUAUGUAAAGCUCUAUCAGCAGGGAAGAAAAUGACGGUACCUGAGUAAGAAGCCCCGGCUAACUACGUG